rnacentral:rRNA from 1 species
AUGGUGGGCGUGCUGCUCCUCCUCCUCCUCCACAUACCGGCGUCGGCGUCGGCGAUCGGCCACGUCUGCGGCAGCGCUGGUAACUACACGGCCAAAAGCACCUACCCGUCCAGCCUCGCCGUGCUCAAGGCUACCUUCCCCGGCAACGCCUCCUCCUCCCCGCAGCUCUUCGCCACCGCCACCGCCGGCGUGGUGCGCGCGCUCGCGCUCUGCCGCCACGACACCACAAACCUCACCGCGUGCAGAGAGUGCGUCGCCUCCUCGUUCAAGUACGCGCAGAAGAUGUGCCCGAAACACAAGGCCGCCACCGUCUACUACGACUACGACGAGGUAAAUGUCACGCGGCCAGGGUGCCUCCUCGGCUUCGCCGGCGACGGCGGCUUCCUCAGCCCGGGAUCCAGUGUCACCUGGAACGACACGUUCUUCCAGUUCUUUAACCCGGUGCAAAUCCCGGGAAAGGCCGGGGUUGUCACCGCCGCGGUCCGCCAGCUCCUGACGCAGACGGCACGGUACGCGGCCGGCACGGCGAGGAGGUUCGCCACAGGGUCCAUGGACUCAAUUGGCAGCGCCGCACCGACACUCUACUCCCUGGCGCAGUGCACGCCUGACCUGUCCGCCGGCGACUGUCUGGUGUGCCUCCGGCGGCUUGUCAGCACGCUCAACGCUACAAACACAGUGCGCGUGGGCGGACGCAUGUUCGUGCUCCGUUGCAACGUGAGGUUCGAGCCUUUUAUGUUCCACAACGACAAAAGCAUGCAGCGGAUUCCAUCUCCAUCAUCCAUCGCUCCGGCACCGGCACCAGCACCGGCACCAGCACCAGCGCCAGCUCCGGCAAGCAAGAGACAUGGAGUAAAACCUUGGGUAAUUGCCAUUUCGGUAGCUGCUCCUGUAGCGCUAGUUGCACUCUGCUUCAUCGUCUACCAUCGUCGGCGCCUUAGAACCAAGCACACAAAAGGGACAACCUUGCAAGAAACGAGUACUCACGAGUUUCAUGAAAGAGAUGAACUAGUUUGGGAAAUGGAAACAGAGUUGGCUGAGUUUGCAGUAUUUGACUUUCAUCAGAUAUUAGAGGCUACAGUUAACUUCUCCGACGAAAACAAGCUCGGCCAAGGUGGAUUUGGCCCUCUUUACAAGGGCCACUUUCCUGAUGGAAAUGAGAUAGCAGUGAAGAGACUUGAUUCACAUUCAGGACAAGGUUUCAUAGAGUUCAACAAUGAAGUUGAGCUUAUAGCGAAACUUCAACACAGAAAUUUGGUUAGGCUCAUGGGAUGUUGCUCUCAAGGAGAGGAGAAAAUACUGGUCUAUGAAUACUUGCCAAAUAAAAUCUUGGACUUCUUCAUCUUUGAUGAAAAUAGAAAAACACUACUGGAUUGGGACAAACGUCUUGCAAUAAUUGUAGGAAUAGCAGAAGGACUUCUUUACCUACAUAAGCACUCUAGGUUGCGCAUUAUACAUCGAGAUCUUAAGCCAAGCAACAUUCUCUUGGAUAGCGAAAUGAAUGCAAAAAUAUCAGAUUUUGGACUAGCAAAAAUAUUUACCUCAAAUAACACUGAAGCAAAUACUACAAGGAAAGUAGUUGGUACACUUGGCUACAUGGCACCCGAGUAUGCUUCCCACGGUCUCUUCUCUAUCAAAUCAGAUGUCUUCAGCUUCGGUGUUUUAACUCUUGAGAUCCUUAGCGGGAAAAGGAAUUCUCAUGAAUGUGGAAAUUUCAUCAACCUCCUCGGACAUGGAUUGAUCUUCACGAUCAAGUUGAAUGUCUUUUCGACACCAUCAAUAAACAUACCAGAGUUUGUUGUUGGCCAGGCUUGGCUCUCCUGCUGGUGGGCCACCUCCACCUGCUCCGUGAAAACCCGCUCCAAUCCACGCUCGCCGGCAUCGCCCGCGGCACGGCCCCAUUCUCUCCCUCCGCCUGGGCCGCAGCGUCGCAUUGUUGUCACCUUUCUGCAGCUGGCCAAGGAGUGCUUCUCCUUCGAGCUGGACGUCAACUUCGCCAACCGCUUGCGGUUCACCUCGGCAUGGGAGGUCUCGUUCGGCUACAUGGGGUUGUCGGCCGCCAGCUACGACUCGCACUGGCGUGCCAUGCGCCGCAUCGCCACUGUGCACCUCCUCUCGGCGUGCCGCGUGGACCUCAUGUCUGACGCCGCCAUCGACGCGCACGAGUUCAAGAAAGUGGUGGACGAGAUUGUGGCGCUCCUCGGCAUGGCCAACCUGCACGACCACUUGCUGGCACCCCUGUGCUGGCUGGACUUCGGCGGCAUCUGCCGGAGGCUCACCCAGCUGGUGAACCGAAGGAGCGCGCUAAUCUAUGGCCUGAUAGAUGUAGAGAGGCAGCAACGUCGGCAGGAGGACGCCAACGAGCUGCCGGACUCAAAGAGCAUGAUCCGCGUGAUGCUCUUGCUGAAGGAGUCCGAUCUGCAGCAGUACACGGACACUUUCAUCGCCGCUCUAGUGCUGGAGCUUGGGUGA